UGAUAGCCAGCUUACGAGCAGCCUGUAGGAUUAACACACCAUACUCUGUCAACUAACUUGAUCUAAAUGUUUCCACCACUUCUAACCACAUUUUAUGUGUCUAUGUUUGCAAUUGUAAUGGUGUGUAGGAUGUGAUCAAAUAAUGUUGCAGAACUAGUAAUAAGUGUAGAAUGGGCGUCUAAUACAAAAAUUACAAUGAAAAAUAUCUUGACUUUAAAAUGUUUAGCAAUAACUAAUUGCAACUCUCUAAUAGUAAAUUUAGUAACCUGUAUGUCAUGCUCUUUGUGAUUCACUCAUGCUUAGAAUGUUAUUCAUGCUUUUUUCAUUAAAUUCCAAAAAAAAAGUGUUUAAGUACAUCUCUUUUUUUUUUU